rnacentral:rRNA from 1 species
GAUGAACGCUGGCGGCGUGCCUAAUACAUGCAAGUCGAGCGAACAGACGAGGAGCUUGCUCCUCUGACGUUAGCGGCGGACGGGUGAGUAACACGUGGAUAACCUACCUAUAAGACUGGGAUAACUUCGGGAAACCGGAGCUAAUACCGGAUAAUAUAUUGAACCGCAUGGUUCAAUAGUGAAAGACGGUUUUGCUGUCACUUAUAGAUGGAUCCGCGCCGCAUUAGCUAGUUGGUAAGGUAACGGCUUACCAAGGCAACGAUGCGUAGCCGACCUGAGAGGUGGAUCGGCCACACUGGAACUGAGACACGGUCCAGACUCCUACGGGAGGCAGCAGUAGGGAAUCUUCCGCAAUGGGCGAAAGCUUGACGGAGCAACGCCGCGUGAGUGAUGAAGGUCUUCGGAUCGUAAAACUCUGUUAUUAGGGAAGAACAAAUGUGUAAGUAACUAUGCACGUCUUGACGGUACCUAAUCAGAAAGCCACGGCUAACUACGUG